UCCCUACGGGGGGCAGCAGUGAGGAAUAUUGGUCAAUGGGCGGGAGCCUGAACCAGCCAAGUCGCGUGAGGGAUGACGGCCCUAUGGGUUGUAAACCUCUUUUGCCGGGGAGCAAAGUGCCGCACGUGUGCGGUUUGGAGAGUACCCGGAGAAAAAGCAUCGGCUAACUCCGUGCCAGCAGCCGCGGUAAUACGGAGGAUCCGAGCGUUAUCCGGAUUUAUUGGGUUUAAAGGGAGCGUAGAUGGGUUGUUAAGUCAGUUGUGAAAGUUUGCGGCUCAACCGUAAAAUUGCAAUUGAUACUGGCA
rnacentral:rRNA from 1 species